UACGAAGGGUGCAAGCGUUAAUCGGAAUUACUGGGCGUAAAGGGUGCGUAGGCGGUUCGUUAAGUCUGUCGUGAAAUCCCCGGGCUCAACCUGGGAAUGGCGAUGGAUACUGGCGAGCUAGAGUGUGUCAGAGGAUGGUGGAAUUCCCGGUGUAGCGGUGAAAUGCGUAGAGAUCGGGAGGAACACCAGUGGCGAAGGCGGCCUUCUGGGCCUUUCCUGACGCUGAGGCGCGAAAGCGUGGGGAGCGAACCGG
rnacentral:rRNA from 1 species